rnacentral:rRNA from 1 species
AUUGAAAGCUGGCGGCAGGCCUAACACAUGCAAGUCGAACGAGUGGCGGACGGGUGAGUAAUGUCUGGGAAACUGCCCGAUGGAGGGGGAUAACUACUGGAAACGGUAGCUAAUACCGCAUACCAUCGGAUGUGCCCCGAUGGGAUUAGCUUGUAGGUGAGGUAACGGCUCACCUAGGCGACGAUCCCUAGCUGGUCUGCGAGGAUUGCCAGCAACACUGGAACUGAGACAAGGUGCAGACUACUACGGGUGGCAGCAGUGGGGAAUAGUGCAAAGUGGGCGUAAGACUGAUGUAGCCAUGCCGCGUGUAUGAAGAAGGCCGUCGGGUUGUAAAGUACUUUCAGUUGGGAGGCGUUACCCGCAGAAGAAGCACCUGCUAACUCCGGGCCAGCUGCCGCGGUAAUGC